rnacentral:rRNA from 1 species
GAGUUUGAUCAUGGCUCAGAUUGAACGCUGGCGGUAGGCUUAACACAUGCAAGUCGUGCGGAAACGAUGGGAGCUUGCUCCCAGGCGUCGAGCGGCGGACGGGUGAGUAACGCGUAGGAAUCUACCCAGUAGUGGGGGAUAGCCCGGGGAAACUCGGAUUAAUACCGCAUACGCCCUACGGGGGAAAGGCCGGGAUCUUCGGACCGGUCGCUAUUGGAUGAGCCUGCGUUGGAUUAGCUAGUUGGUAGGGUAAAGGCCUACCAAGGCGACGAUCCAUAGCUGGUCUGAGAGGAUGAUCAGCCACACUGGAACUGAGACACGGUCCAGACUCCUACGGGAGGCAGCAGUGGGGAAUAUUGGACAAUGGGCGCAAGCCUGAUCCAGCCAUACCGCGUGUGUGAAGAAGGCCUUCGGGUUGUAAAGCACUUUAAGCAGGGAGAAAAAGUUAUAAGUUAAUACCUUAUAACCCUGAUGUUACCUGCAGAAUAAGCACCGGCUAAUUCCGUGCCAGCAGCCGCGGUAAUACGGAAGGUGCAAGCGUUAAUCGGAAUUACUGGGCGUAAAGCGCGCGUAGGUGGUUUGUUAAGUUGGAUGUGAAAGCCCUGGGCUCAACCUAGGAACUGCAUCCAAAACUAACUCACUAGAGUACGAUAGAGGGAGGUAGAAUUCAUAGUGUAGCGGUGGAAUGCGUAGAUAUAUGAAGAAUACCAGUGGCGAAGGCGGCCUCCUGGAUCUGUACUGACACUGAGGUGCGAAAGCGUGGGUAGCGAACAGGAUUAGAUACCCUGGUAGUCCACGCCGUAAACGAUGACAACUAGCUGUUGGGAGACUAUGUCUUUCAGUGGCGCAGCUAACGCUUUAAGUUGUCCGCCUGGGGAGUACGGCCGCAAGGCUAAAACUCAAAUGAAUUGACGGGGACCCGCACAAGCGGUGGAGCAUGUGGUUUAAUUCGAUGCAACGCGAAAAACCUUACCAGGCCUUGACAUCCAGAGAACUUACCAGAGAUGGUUUGGUGCCUUCGGGAACUCUGAGACAGGUGUUGCAUGGCUGUCGUCAGCUCGUGUCGUGAGAUGUUGGGUUAAGUCCCGUAACGAGCGCAACCCUUAUCCUUAUUUGCCAGCACGUAAUGGUGGGAACUCUAAGGAGACUGCCGGUGACAAACCGGAGGAAGGAGAGGAUGAUGUCAAGUCAUCAUGGCCCUUACGGCCUGGGCUACACACGUGCUACAAUGGGAAGUACAAAGGGCCGCAAUACUGCAAAGUGGAGCAAAUCCCAGAAAACUUCUCGUAGUCCGGAUUGGAGUCUGCAACUCGACUCCAUGAAGUCGGAAUCGCUAGUAAUCGCGAAUCAGCAUGUCGCGGUGAAUACGUUCCCGGGCCUUGUACACACCGCCCGUCACAUCAUGGGAGUGGGCUGCAAAAGAAGUGGCUAGUCUAACCUUCGGGAGGACGGUCACCACUUUGUGGUUCAUGACUGGGGUGAAGUCGUAACAAGGUAACC